CUUCACAUGCAAGUCGAACGGUAGAGUAACAAUACUUGAGAGUGGCGAACGGGUGAGUAAUAUAUCGGAACGUGCCCAGUCGUGGGGGAUAACGUAGAGAAAUUUACGCUAAUACCGCAUACGAUCUAAGGAUGAAAGCGGGGGAUUCGCAAGAACCUCGCGCGGUUGGAGCGGCUGAUAUCAGAUUAGGUUGUUGGUGAGGUAAAAGCUCACCAAGCCGACGAUCUGUAGCUGGUUUGAGAGAACGACCAGCCACACUGGGACUGAGACACGGCCCAGACUCCUACGGGAGGCAGCAGUGGGGAAUUUUGGACAAUGGGCGAAAGCCUGAUCCAGCAAUGCCGCGUGUGGGAAGAAGGCCUUCGGGUUGUAAACCACUUUUGUACGGAACGAAACGGUUCGCUUUAAUACAGUGGGCUAAUGACGGUACCGUAAGAAUAAGCACCGGCUAACUACGUGCCAGCAGCCGCGGUAAUACGUAGGGUGCGAGCGUUAAUCGGAAUUACUGGGCGUAAAGCGUGCGCAGGCGGUUAUAUAAGACAGUUGUGAAAUCCCCGGGCUCAACCUGGGACCUGCAUUUGUGACUGUAUAGCUAGAGUACGGUAGAGGGGGAUGGAAUUCCGCGUGUAGCAGUGAAAUGCGUAGAUAUGCGGAGGAACACCGAUGGCGAAGGCAAUCCCCUGGACCUGUACUGACGCUCAUGCACGAAAGCGUGGGGAGCCAACAGGAUUAGAUACCCUGGUAGUCCACGCCCUAAACGAUGUCAACUGGUUGUUGGGUCUUCACUGACUCAGUAACGAAGCUAACGCGUUAAGUCGACCGCCUGGGGA
rnacentral:rRNA from 1 species